CAUUAGGCAUAAACAGAAUUGUGAGCAUCAUUUACAUAGAGUAGUUCCAUGACCCAUGUCCACAAAGCAUGAGUUCUUACUGAACUUAUGUUAUGUCCAGGAGACUUCCCUACACAAAACAGAAGAUGGAUAUUUCAUGCCAAAGCGUCUUUUUUUUUUUUUCUUUUUAGGGCUGCACCCACGGCAUACGGAGUUUCCCAGGCUAGGGGUCGAAUUGGAGCUGUAGCCGCUGACUUACACCACAGCCACAGCAACGCAAGACCCAAGCUGCAUCUGUGAUCUCUACCACAGCUCACGGCAAUGCCGGAUCCUUAACUCGCUGAGCAAGGCCAGGGAUCGAACCUGCAUCCUCAUGGAUGCUAGUCAGAUUCAUUUCCACUGACCCAUGACGGGAACACCCCAGACACAUUUUUUUGAAAUCAAUUUUAUGUCCAGACCAAAGAUGGGCAUUGAAGAGAGGGAGGGAUAAAAGCUAGUGACCCCAGAGCCUGAGUUUAUCCUAUAAUCCAUGGACACGGAUAUAAAAUGUAGGUGCAAUGUCAAUUUCAUGGUCUUAGCAACUCCAGUAGAGACUGGCCUCAUGGGAAAUGAGGUAGGUGUUCCAUCCCUGCUUCAAGGAAGCAUAUGGUUACCUGUUGCUUUGCUUUUUAUCCUGUGACCUACAGGGUCCUUUUCAGCUCUGCGUCCCUCUGCUUCUCUCUCCAGCUAAGCUCCGUUCCAUUUGCUCGCCACCCAGCCAGCAAGCCCUCCCCGCACCCCACCACCAUGUUGCAGUCCCUCUCUCUGUGUCUCUUGGUUCAAAUUUUGAAUGGGUCGGCUGACUUUGAAUCUGAUGCUUCCAUCUGUGGCCAGCGAGAGGAGGACUCUGCUUUUCCAACAUAGACGUCUGGACUCAGAAGAUCCUUGCGUCAGGCAUUUCCCGGGAAAAGGAACUAUUUUAUAGUAAAUGUCACCCUAGUGCAAAUUCUGUAGUUGCAAAAGUAGCAAAGGAGAAAGUCCAUGGUUUCCUGAUAAGCCUUUCCUGAGAAUAAACUUUAGGUAUGAUGAUGAGCUAAACA
rnacentral:lncRNA from 1 species